rnacentral:rRNA from 1 species
UACGAAGGGUGCAAGCGUUACUCGGAAUUACUGGGCGUAAAGCGUGCGUAGGCGGUUUGUUAAGUCCGUUGUGAAAGCCCUGGGCUCAACCUGGGAAUUGCAGUGGAUACUGGGCGAGCUAGAGUGCGGUAGAGGAUGGGUGGAAUUCCCGGUGUAGCGGUGAAAUGCGUAGAGAUCGGGAGGAACACCCGUGCGAAGGCGGCCAUCUGGACCAGCACUGACGCUGAGGCACGAAAGCGUGGGGUGCAAACAGGGA